AUCUGAUACCUCAGGUCUCCACAGACAUGCCUUGCCCCAGAUAUGCAUACAUAUGCAUAAUUAAAAGUAAAAUGCUGAUAAAUGUUUGCAGAGAUAGUUUAACUUGAUUUAAAUAUUACCUAUUGGAUGUAUAUAUGGAAAUUUUAUAUAGUACACUAUUAAUGAUGGUUUUGGUUAUCAGUUAAAAACAGGCUUUGUUGUAGAUUAUUUUACUCAACUAUUAACUAAUGUGAAUAUUCUGAGCAUGGUUAAGGUAGGCUAGAAUAAGCUGUGAUGUUCAGUUGGUUAGGUGAAUUGAGUCCAGUUUGAGUUAUUUUUAUUUUGCCUUGUGUGUUCUUUUUCUUUUAUUAGAUAUUUUCGUCAUUUACAUUUCAGAUGCUAUCCUGAAAGUCCCCUAUAUGCUCCCCCCAGCCCCCUCCCCUGCUCCCCAACCCACCCAUUCCCUCUUCCUGGCCCUGGUAUUCCCCUGUACUGGGGCAUAUGAUCUUCACAAGACCAAGGGCCUCUCCUCCCAUUGAUGGCCGAUUAGGCCAUCCGCCUUGUGUGUUUUGAGACAGUGUUUCAUGUAGCCUUAUGUGGCUUCUCAUUCUGUGUAGUUAAGGUUGGUUCUGUAUUCCCAAUCCUCCUGUUUUAUCUCGUAGGUCCUGGCUUUAUAGGUACUCACCAUCAAUUCAUCCCAAUAUUUUCAGUUUAAAUUGGGAUUAAAAGUAUUAGUACUUGACAAGCAAGAGAUAAAUAACAUCCUUAUACCAGGCAAAGAUGGACUCCACAGUAAGGGCAGAGGCUAUUGAUGUGCUUUGAAGAUGGAAGAAGCAACCACAAGCUAGGAAAAGUAAAUGACCUUGUAGGGAGUCAAGAAUAAACAGACUUCCUGGACCUCAGAGAUCCACCUGCCUCUGCCUCCCGUAGGCUCUAAUUAAAGACAUGCGCCAUCACCUGGCUGUGAACUCAUCUUUUUUUUUUUUUUUUUUGAGACAGGGUUUCUCUGUGUAGUCCUGGCUGUCCUGGAACUCACUCUGUAGACCAGGCUGGCCUCGAACUCAGAAAUUCACCUGCCUCUGCCUCCCAAGUGCCACGCCUAGCUCAGAACUCAUCUUUUUAAAGGUGAACAGUGUAUGUUAUCCUAUCCCUAAAGAGGCAGAAUUCUUGCUGAAAAAGUCUGUCCUUGUUUAACUAUUGCUGGCCUGUGGUUUUGAAUGUAAUAGAAGCGUCAGCUCAGCCUGCUAUAGUCCUGAGCCCUUGAAGUAGACACAGUGAUGUCACCCUGUUCCAUAUGGCAUGGAAAAAUAUUAGUGUCAGUCACACCUUGAGAUCCUUAAACUGCUGUUGCCCCACAGUCUGUCCAAUGGCCUCUGGCUUACAGAAACCUCAGCCCAAGUAUUUCAUCUACUCCUAGAAGGAAUGGCCACAGAUGGGCUUCAGCCAUAUGGAGCAGGCUAGCCACGGGUCCUGUCUCCCAGACCCUGGGCAUGCUUUGGCGGAGGAACUGAUACGGCUAUCUCCCUUCUGGACAUGGUUGUUUGCUGUCAAUCCUGGGGCGCCUGGCCUGGCCUGUAGCCUCUGGUGAGCAGCCUUCUAGCCCUGGGAUAGACACAAGUAACUUGAACCUCUCACCUUCCAUCUCCACUUACCUUUGCAUAUCCCAAGCGCCAGAGACCUGGCCCUUUUGGUGGUUAAUAACUUUUAAUAAAGUGGGAAGAAGAAG
rnacentral:lncRNA from 1 species